rnacentral:rRNA from 1 species
UACGAAGGGUGCAAGCGUUACUCGGAAUUACUGGGCGUAAAGCGUGCGUAGGUGGUUCGUUAAGUCUGAUGUGAAAGCCCUGGGCUCAACCUGGGAAUGGCAUUGGAAACUGGCGAUCUAGGGUGCGGUAGAGGGUAGUGGAAUUCCCGGUGUAGCAGUGAAAUGCGUAGAGAUCGGGAGGAACAUCUGUGGCGAAGGCGACUGCCUGGACCAGCACUGACACUGAGGCACGAAAGCGUGGGGAGCAAACAGG